GCACUGUUGAUGAGUCCCAAACAGGACGGAACUGCUGUCCAGUGC
rnacentral:hammerhead_ribozyme from 1 species